UGAAUGGCUAUGUCAAACAGUUUACUGCCAUGGGAUGGGACUGCGGCCUAUCAGCUUGUUGGUGAGGUAAUGGCCCACCAAGGCGAUUACAGUACGGGCCUGAGAGGAGAAGCCCGGAGAUGGGUACUGAGACACGGACCCAGGCCCUAUGGGGCGCAGCAGGCGAGAAACCUUAGCAAUGUGCGAAAGCACGACUGGGUCAGUCCGAGUGAUUCCUGAUAAAGGAGUCUUUUGCCUGUCCUAAAAACACAGGUGAAUAAGGGGUGGGCAAGUCUGGUGUCAGCCGCCGCGGUAAUACCAGCACCUCGAGUGGUCAGGACGUUUAUUGGGCCUAAAGCAUCCGUAGCCAGCGCUGCAAGUCUUCGGUUAAAUCCACCUGCUCAACAGAUGGGCUGCUGGAGAUACUACAGCGCUAGGGAGUGGGAGAGGCAGACGGUAUUCAGUGGGUAGGGGUAAAAUCCUCUGAUCCAUUGAGGACCACCAGUGGCGAAGGCGGUCUGCCAGAACACGUUCGACGGUGAGGGAUGAAAGCUGGGGGAGCAAACCGGAUUAGAUACCCGGGUAGUCCCAGCUGUAAACGAUGCAAACUCGGUGAUGCAU
rnacentral:rRNA from 1 species